ensembl:lncRNA
CUUCUCUCUCUCGGGGCGAUCAAUCACAGUUGGCUGACAGCCAGCAGGCCGCAGGUCGUCAUGCCGACAGCAGAUGGCUCUUUAUUGCCAUGACAACCACAGGGAGCAGGAAGUGACACGUCCAGCCAAAGACACACACACGCGCGCACGCAUGCAUGCAGUGUGUGUCACAUGCAAAAACCUGACUAAAGAAGAACUGUUUAGGUUAGGGUUUAUUGGUUAGGUUAGGUCAGGGUUUGAUGGUUAGGUUAGGGUUUGAUGGUUAGGUCAGGGUUUGAUGGUUAGGUUAGGGUUUAAUGGUUAGGUUAAGGUUUAAUGGUUAGGGGGAUCAAGGUAGAAGAGUUCACGUCGCGAUCCCUGCCAAGUAAUAACAACAAUACUACUUGCGAAUUCUACCAAACACUUUGACGCCAAGCCGAAAGACAAAUGAUGUCGAAUAGCCCAAAUAAUGGCACUAGCCCAUCAGCCCGAAAGAGGAAGAGAGGCCAACGCCUGCCACCAAGGCCAUCUUUGACCAUCAUAUCUCUAAAUGUUGAAGGACUGUCUGCAGCUGAGAAGAACUUGCUGCCUAACUCUGCAGAGAGCAUCAGUGUGAUACUCUCUGCCUUCAAAAAACUCACCGCGGACCCAAACAUCCCCGCCCUCGAGUGGAAGGCAUGACCACCCUCAUUGAAAGAACACAUGGAAAACAUGGAAGCGUCAAGCUUGCAAAAAACAGGACAAUCAUCGCAUAAACAUCAAAGAGCGAUGAAAACAGCAAACCCCUGAGCUCAGAGAAAUUACCAUCUGCUCCGUCUACAAGCCACCUCUACAACUUUCCUGAUGUCAGAAAUACCAUCAAAGGAUAGUGUGUUUGGAGACUUCAACAGCCACAGUUCACAAUGGGGAUACGCCGGAAACUGACGAUGAAGAUGAAUUGGAAGCAGUAGCCGAAACCAACCAGCUCUACCUGAUCCAUGAUGCCAAACUACCAAAGUCCUUUGAUA